rnacentral:rRNA from 1 species
CAGAACGAACGCUGGCGGCGCGUCUUAAGCAUGCAAGUCGAACGGCAAGAGGUAGCAAUACCUCCUAGAGUGGCGGACUGGUGAGUACACGUGGGUGACAUACCCUUCAGAUGGGGAUAGCUAUUAGAAAUAGUAGAUAAUACCGAAUACGAGCACAGGGGUUAGAGAUCUGUGAGGAAAGGAGCUAAGGCUCCGCUGAAGGAAUGGCCUGCGGCCCAUUAGCUAGUUGGUGAGGUAAGAGCCCACCAAGGCGAUGAUGGGUAUCCGGCCUUAGAGGGUGAACGGACACAUUGGGACUGAGAUACGGCCCAGACUCCUACGGGAGGCAGCAGCUAAGAAUAUUCCGCAAUGGACGAAAGUCUGACGGAGCGACGCCGCGUGGAUGAAGAAGGCCGGAAGGUUGUAAAAUCCUUUUGAAACUGAAGAAUAAGCGUUGUAGGGAAUGACAGCGUGGUGACAGUAGGUUUUGAAUAAGCAACGGCUAAUUACGUGCCAGCCGCUGC